rnacentral:misc_RNA from 1 species
GAAAGAACGUAGCGAAAUGCGAUACUUGGUGUGAAUUGCAGAAUCCCGUGAACCAUCGAGUCUUUGAACGCAAGUUGCGCCUCAAGCCAUUAGGUUGAGGGCACGUCUGCCUGGGCGUCACAUAUCGUUGCCUGAUGCCAGUUUCCUCGUGAUGGGUGACUGUGCAGGGCGAAUGAUGGCUUCCCGUGAGCAUUGUUGCCUCAUGGUUGGUUGAAAAUUGAGUCCUUGGUAGGGAGCGCCGUGAUAGAUGGUGGUUGAGUGACGAACGAGACCCAAUCAUGUGAGACCCCUACCGAAUUUGGCCUUCAUGACCCACAUGCGUCUUUGGAACGCUCAUGACGAGACCUCAGGUCAGGCGGGGCUACCCGCUGAGUUUAAGCAUAUCAAUAAGCGGAGGA